GUACCCAUGCUGCCCACCUCUGGUCACAGCUGUAGCCAUCAUUGGCAUCUGGGGUCCCCACUGCCUGGCCUGCCCUGGCCAUCAAAGCAUUGCCCAUUUGCACCCAUGUGCAUGCACAGUGCCAAUGUAUGGCUCUUAUGGUGAUUUCUUUGACUCUUUUUGGUCAAUGACAUGGUGCUGUCAUUAAAAAAUAAAUGUACCCAGAGCUUUCAGUCUGAGAAUAGUUGCUUAAGAAUUGGUUUCCCAAGCUGGAGGGAAGGUAACCCAGGCUCAGUUGAGAAGUAGUUGGAAAGUAGGUGUCUAACUUCUCGCUCGUUACUCUCAUUUUGAUGACUCUAGAAGAAAGGUGUGCAGGAUGGGAUCAACUGCUACUCAGUCACUCAUUACAAGAUGCAAAAAAGAGACUUGAGAGUUUUGGGGCCUUAGUAUUUCAAUGCUAAUUUCAGAGACAUCUUAAUGUAGUCUGCACGUGUCACUGUUCAGGUAACACGUGUUUAUUCAGUUUCUCUUCAUUCCUGGAAGAGAAACUGCAUGAUGGGAGAAUUUCUUAAAACUUUGAGCUGUAACUUUAUCUCUGCAUCACCAUGAGUGUCACCUUUUUCAUUCGUCAUCAUCUUCAUUAUCUUGGGGACUGUGGCUGCCAAGGUAACCAGGUUAAUGGUUCCUAAUGGUAUCAUCAGUCACCCACUCACUGUUCACUCUGACCUCUGAUCUAAUCGUGAGCCCCUUUCUGUAAUAUCUGUGUCACAUUUUUGGCUUAAAUCUUUAAAGUAAUGUACUGAUUACAGCAGCAAUUCCUAUUUAUUACUCACUCAUUCACACAAGAACCUGAAUUCUUUAAAUGUCUCAUAUUUUAACAAUGACAUAGAUUUCCUUCUGAAGAAUUUAGGUGGCUGUUUGACUUUUUUUUUUAACUUGCUGAGAAGGUAAAGCAUUGUGCUUUUAAUUGCUGAUGGGUACUUGACACAUGAUGAAGUGUGAGAUCAUCACUGUGGCUGUAUUUGCAACUUCCAUGUGACCGAUGACUUUCCUUGAUAUUGAGCACUAGUAAUAAUCAGGGUACAUAGUUAAGAUCAGCUUUAGGAUCAGCUUUAGGAAUAUCAAGUCUAGGAAAGUUCCAUUUCUGAGCCACAGACUCUAUCCUAUAGAAGGGGAUAGUGGGCACAUAUGAGGAGACUAUUUCCUUCCACUAUGAGACUCCUUUGGGGACUAAAACAGGGUGUUAGUAAGUGAUAGGUCUCAAAAGUAUUAAAUUCCUGUUUUCUAACGUGUUUGCUCCUUCUCUGAUGCUUUUGUAAGACGGAUCUUCAUUCUUGAGCUCAUUCAGGUAUUUACCAAAAUCUUCAGUGUACUUUUCUAGGUUCUAUGACAGGUACAAACACCCACUUUGAGCUUCAAGGAUGUAAAAAUGAGAAUUGUGAAAUCUUCCUACAAUUUUUUCCUUAAUGCACUACCAUAAUGAUACUCUAUUUAUACUUAUUUACUUUGUGGAAACCAGUUAUAAGCAGAAGUGCCCAUUGCAUUGUUGAAUUUAAUCACAGACAUUUAGAGAUGGGAGGAGACUUAAACAUUCUCUCAAUGUUUAAGAAAAGGAAGUUAUGUUGAUAGUUCCUAGAAGAUGCUUAAGGAAAGAUGACAUCACAAUGUUUCCUGGCGUUUUUGGGUGCCUUUAGGCUGGACACAUCUUACUUAGCCAAGCUGUCUCCUUUCAUACUCUAAUGUAAGAUUCUAACACUUAAUAUUGCAGCUUCCUUCACUGUCUCACACACCUGCAUCCUGCAUUUAUGACCUUCUUGAUACUGCUUCCCUCUUGAAAUUUCCCUUCUCCCCCUUUCCACCCAUCUAAAUCCUAAUUCUCUUUCACUUCAUGUCCUUAAUGUAAGAUUCACAUUGAAGAAGCUUUCUCUGGGUAUUUAGCCUUCAUUAUGCAUUUAAAUGGGAACAUAACUUAAUCUAACAAAUAAUUAUUAAACCUGCUGUAUUUUAACCUGUAUCAGGUCUGAAGGACUAUAAAAAGAGGGAAAGAAAUAGAAAGACUUAAUUAGCACACAGGAACUACUUGUGUAAUUAAUCAAGUUCUCUUUGCUUUCAUGGACUUUAUGAUCUAGUUGAGGAGACUAUGUAUAAUAGGACAUAACAGCUGGAAACAGAUAUAACACUUGGAAGUCCCCUAGCUCACGGGCCAUUUGAUGUCUUCAUCACUUUUCAUAUAUUAUUCUUGUAAUCUGGAAUGUCCCCUAUACUUCUCAACUGAAGAAGCCUUUUCUGGAACCUCAAAUGACAAAACAAUGGAUUUCUUUGCUACUCAGGGUUCCCAAAACUAUUGUUAUUGUGUUGACACAUUUGGUUUUUCCUCUAGACUGUGAGCUUCUUGUGGGCAGGAUCAUGUCUUAUUCAUCCUUAUAACCACAGUACUGUGCAAAAGUGCUGGGGGCAUUGUAGGUGUUCAACAAAUAUUUGUUGAUGGAGGAAAUAAAUUAAUACUAAAAUGAGGAAGCAUAAAAUAAACACUUUAUGAGAUUAAUGUAGAAUAGUAUGCCUUUAUGAAGGGCUGGGAAUUGAGCUGGACUUUAAAGAAAGCCAGGAUUUAAAUGAAUGAUUUUGUUAAUAGUAAUUAGUGGCUAACAUUUAUUUUGCACUCAUAAUGUGCCAGGCACUGUUCUACCUGGCUUUCCCUGUACCAAAACAUUUAUUCUUGCCCUAAAUCCUAUGAGGUAUUUUCUAUGAUUAUUCCCAUUUUCUGUGGGGAAACUGAAACAUAGAACAGAUACAGCAACUUGUCUGUGGUCACACAGCUAGUAAGCGAGUAAAUCCAGACACUCUUUCUCCAGGGUUCAUGUCUUACCAGUGCUAUGUUGUGUCAGGAAGGAGACACAUGCAAAUAAAGAAAUUAAACCAGGCAUAUUGUUUUAUGUUCUUGGAACCAAUAGCCAGUCUGAAUGUGUGGAGAUCUGGAAAGGUAGGGUACAAUCAGGUUGAACAAAGGACUGAAUAUUAAUAACAGAUGUUCACACUUCAUUUUAAGGCAUUGUGAAGAAGAUGAAAGUUUUUGGAAGCAUAAGGGUCUAGAAUAUGU